ACAUACGGGGAGCUUGCUCCCAGUCAUGCUGCGGGGAAAGUCCCCGUGCCUUGGGGCAGAGAGUGCCAGCGGGAGACCGCAGGGCUUGAGGCACGCCGCGCGUGGUGAUGCCUUUGGCGGAGCCGCAGCGGCAGACUCGGGCCAGUUGCAGCAGCACAGCCAUGCCGUGAGCGCUCACCUGAGAGCGCCAACAGAACGGGGCUCACUCUC
rnacentral:RNase_MRP_RNA from 13 species